UACGGAGGGUGCAAGCGUUAUCCGGAUUUACUGGGUUUAAAGGGUGCGUAGGUGGGUUGGGAAGUCAGUGGUGAAAUACUUCCGCUUAACGAAGGAACUGCCAUUGAUACUAUCAAUCUUGAAUGUAGUGGAGGUAGGCGGAAUGCGUCAUGUAGCGGUGAAAUGCUUAGAUAUGACGCAGAACACCAAUUGCGAAGGCAGCUUGCUACACUACUAUUGACACUGAGGCACGAAAGCGUGGGGAUCAAACAGG
rnacentral:rRNA from 1 species